rnacentral:rRNA from 1 species
AUUGAACGCUGGCGGCAGGCCUAACACAUGCAAGUCGAGCGCGCGGCGGACGGGUGAGUAAUGUCUGGGAAACUGCCUGAUGGAGGGGGCUAACUACUGGAAACGGUAGCUAAUACCGCAUACCAUCAUAUGUGCCCAGAUGGGAUGAGCGAGGAGGUGGGGUAACGGCUCACCUGGGCGACGAUCCCUAGCUGGUCUGAGAGGAUGACCAGACACACUGGAACUGAGAAACGGCCCAGACUCCUACGGGAGGCAGCAGUGGGGAAUAUGGGACAAGGGGCGAAAGCCUGAUGCAGCCAUGCCGCGUGUAUGAAGAAGGCCUUCGGGUUGUAAAGUACUGUCAGCGGGGAGGCGGUACCCGCAGAAGAAGCAACGGCUAACUACGUGCCAGCAGCCGCGGUAAUAC